UACGUAGGGUGCAAGCGCUAAUCGGAAUUACUGGGCGUAAAGCGUGCGCAGGCGGUUUUGUAAGUCUGACGUGAAAUCCCCGGGCUCAACCUGGGAAUUGCGUUGGAGACUGCAAGGCUAGAAUCUGGCAGAGGGGGGUAGAAUUCCACGUGUAGCAGUGAAAUGCGUAGAGAUGUGGAGGAACACCGAUGGCGAAGGCAGCCCCCUGGGUCAAGAUUGACGCUCAUGCACGAAAGCGUGGGGAGCAAACAGG
rnacentral:rRNA from 1 species